UUGUUGUGAGUGAGUUGUUCGUUUGUCUACUCCGUCUGUCUGUGUCUAUGUAUGAGUGAGUGAGAUUGGUUGAGUUUUAUCAUCUUCAUGAGUGUAGUAGUGUGGCCUCAGCUGUAUAGCUAUCCCGUGGCCACAAGUCCCAUGUUUUGGGUUGAGGCUAGGGAUAGUGGCAGUUAGACAUUUACAUCACCGCCACCACCAUUUUGGACUUAGUGAAUGUACUGAAGGGUUAUUCGCCCCUGGAUACAGUGGAGAGCUACAUUCCAAGAGGUCAAGGAUUCCUGGACGGUCCUGUGUCGGAAAGGCCUGGAUACCAGUUUUGAGGGAUCUCCUCACUGAUCUUCCGCUAAAGCUUCACACUAGCCACAGCAUUCUCUUACAGGAGAAGGAACCAAGGGCAUUUUUUAGGACCUUUGAGCUGAACCUUGGCUGCUGCAUAUUGAGCUCUUUCACCUCUGAGCCCUUCUGGAAGCCCGCUAACACCUCCCCCCAGUCCAAGUUCAUGUCCAUUUAUGAUGACUCCCAAGAUGUCACGAGAGGAAGUGUGGAAAAACCCAAGGAAAACAUUUACAAAGAGAUGAAAAGUCUUAUAUGCACUGACUUCUGCCCUC